UACAGCACGGCAUGUGUGACAAAUUGAGUCUUUCUUAUCUGGUUUUCGCAAAAUGCUGUCUGCGGACGGAGAGGUGAGCUCGCAGGACAUACUGUAUAUCAGCAGCGUGUGUGAAGCAGGACUUUCACCAUUACCACCAAAAUACAAAACCACGUGAUUUAGGAGAACACGUUCACAAACUUCCUUGAAAAACUGCUAAAGGAUGUGCAUUUAUCCAGGUGUACUGUUGUUCCCUGAAAGUGAGCAGCCCUCAGUGUGCCGUUAGCCUAAAUGACACUGAGCAUGGGAAAAUGGUUAAGGUGUUCAACAACAUUAAAAGGUAAGGUUGGAGAGCUGAGCGGCCUAUAAUUCAUGAAGCGACACAUUGGUUGGCGCCACCAUAGCCCUGUCAUUAGAUCGAUUUACUAAACAAACUCAAACUAGGGUGGGGAUGUUAAACAGUAACCCAGCGCCAUAAAAACGAAAAGGAAAAGAUCACCAGGUGUGUGUGUGGUUGUGUGCGUAUGUCUAUGUCAGGCAGGACCUCUAACACCACCUCCGAGGGCAGGACGUAGGAGAUCCAAGAGGUCUGAGGUAAUGUUUCACAAAAUAAUGGGAGAGCAGUAAUGAUUUUAGAUAUUUAUUUCUCUUCUCGGCUAUGAAGCCGAACACUUGAGCUAUGUACACAGGGGUUAAGUGUUAGUAAAUACAGUGAAAUUAAUUUAGUUGUCAUCUCCACUCCUUUCAUGCCUUUCAGAUUAAGUUAAGCGAUGAAAAAUAAAACCAUAGUCUUUGAGUACAUUACAUAAAUCACAAGCUUGAGCCGCAUGUAGUAUAAACAUAGACCAGCAGGUGGCAAGAGUUCACUCAUUUUGAGUCAAAAGCUGAUGGCAGUUUUCACUCGUGCCAAAUUCUUUCAGCAUUUUGAUCAAUAAAAGAACAGUUUGACAGGUAUUUAACAUCUGCUGUUUGACUUUGGCUGUUCCACGUCACAUAAUAUCUCUCCCCAAAUUUCCUGACUGUCUAUGGACAACUCAAGUAUCAAGUAAGACACAAAAUAUCAAAUAAUGGCAUUUAUUAUAAUUAAAACAAAGAAGCACAGCUUAAGCAUUGUAUAAUUUAAAAGGAAUAAGUCCACAUGACACAACAGUGGUAGAACCAAUGAAGCAGAACUAGCGAUGUUUUAGAUUACAGCUGUGGUCUUUCUAUGUGUGUUUGAAAAUGUCAACAAAACAAGCUAUACAAAUAAAAGAAAACUGACAACAUCCCAAAAUGAUUAUUUUGUCCAACUGAUGCUCACAAACUCAUGAAUGAAGGUUCAUAUUUCAAAGAAACUCUCAAACAAACGCUGAUAGAUUCAUAGAACUGAAAAUGGUAUGUAUUCUAAUUGCACUAUAUGUACCGCUUAAAGAUUUUUAGUCAUCUUUCUGCUCUUUACAUUCUGUUUAUUUUAUUUAUUUAUUUAUUUAUUUGUUCUUUUAUGCCAUCUUAUCUGUUUAAAUGAUUAUUCUGAUGCUAUUUUUGGACGUUGUUCUGAUAUCAAAUAUCUGCAUUUAUGGAACUCCAACAAAAAUAAAGACCAGUCAAGUGAAGCUAAAACUACAAAAAAAAAAAAAAAAAAAAAAAUGUCAAUGAAGUCCCUUGAAACCCCCGGUCACACACUU